AGUGGCAGACGGGUGAGUAACAUGUAGGUAUCUACCCUUUGGCCUGGAAUAACACGAGGAAACUUGUGCUAAUACCGGAUAAGUCUUUACGGAGAAAGCUUUAUGCACCAUUGGAUGAGCCUGCACUUGAUUAGUUUGUUGGUGGGGUAAUGGCCUACCAAGACCGUGAUCAAUAGCUGAUUUGAGAGGAUGAUCAGCCACAUUGGGACUGAGACACGGCCCAAACUCCUACGGGAGGCAGCAGUGGGGAAUCUUGCACAAUGGAGGAAACUCUGAUGCAGCGAUGCCGCGUGAGUGAAGAAGGCCCUUGGGUUGUAAAGCUCUUUCGUCGGGGAAGAAAAUGACUGUACCCGAAUAAGAAGGUCCGGCUAACUUCGUGCCAGCAGCCGCGGUAAUACGAAGGGACCUAGCGUAGUUCGGAAUUACUGGGCUUAAAGAGUUCGUAGGUGGUUGAAAAAGUUAGUGGUGAAAUCCCAGAGCUUAACUCUGGAACUGCCAUUAAAACUUUUCAGCUAGAGUAUGAUAGAGGAAAGCAGAAUUUCUAGUGUAGAGGUGAAAUUCGUAGAUAUUAGAAAGAAUACCAAUUGCGAAGGCAGCUUUCUGGAUCAUUACCGACACUGAGGAACGAAAGCAUGGGUAGCGAAGAGGAUUAGAUACCCUCGUAGUCCAUGCCGUAAACGAUGUGUGUUAGACGUUGGAAAUUUAUUUUCAGUGUCGCAGCGAAAGCGAUAAACACACCGCCUGGGGAGUAC
rnacentral:rRNA from 1 species